GCUCUAUAAAAGGGCUUGCUGUGCAACAUGCCAAACUUACAAGGAAUUGUAUGAAACAAAAUGCUGAGCAAUGUAAGCGGACACCGUUCCUAUGGCAGUAACCAGAGUCCAAUACAAUAUUGUCUGUAAAUAUGGCUGCUCUCAAGUACAUCCUAUGCCUGAUAUUUUUCGUGGCCUCCGCGAAUUCCAUGUCUCGCCAUCUGGCACCAUUUAAACCAUUGAAGAAAGACAGAUGCAGGAUUCACAACGAAACUGAUGAGUGGCAAUUAAUUAACACGCAAUGGAAACCAAAAGGAUUGUGCGGAAUCUUCUCAUGCGACGAUACGUAUUCCCUGUAUGGAUCCAAUACUAUAACUCUCAGCUUCUGCCAAACCCCGGCUUUGUUCCAAGAGUGUAAGGAAAAUGUCACAGACACGACUAUGGACUUUCCCGAUUGCUGUUGGACUUGUGUUACUUUGAACAACAAUUGCGACCCGCAAUAAAUACUUGGAAUUCGCAGAAACAUACUUCAAGCAAAUCAAAGCAAACAUGCGGAUUAAGUAUCACAUAAAGUUUAUAAAUAUAAACGAUACGCGAAUUAUGUACCUCCUUAUAUAGUUACUUCAUGGCUGUGGUGAGGAUCAAACACUUUUUCAACACGCUCGCUCGGCUCUCAGAGAGACUCAUAGACCCCUAAUAAUAAAUUCACCUUGCACUAGUUGUGGGUUUGGGUUAUGUCGUUUGGGAAUCAAACAGUCUUGUGGGUUUUGGUUUUCUUUUCACAUUAUUAUUAUCGUUUCCUCUUCACUUUGUCCUUACAUAAAUUAGUCUCUAAAACUAAAGCUAAGACCUAAGAGGGUAACGCGAGUACACACAUACGGAGCACAGUAACGAAUAGUUUACAAAUAUAAUUAUGUACAACAA